rnacentral:lncRNA from 1 species
CCCCCUCCCCCAGACUUUGGUCUCCUUCGAACACGACCCCCUCCCCCUCCAUCAGUCUGGUUUUCUUCUUCUCCAAAUCCUCUCACCAACCUAACGACCCUAGGGACUAAGAAAAACAGAGUAAUUGCAGCUUCUUCAACUCCUCUCGCCCACCAGCGGCGAACUCGCCGGAAAAUGCACAGCCAAAACUCGUCAUCACCCUAGCUCCUUUAUCACCUUCAACUACUUCACUCUCUCUCAUUGGAGAUAUCACCGACGACUCGUUCUAGUUCAAAACUACCGAGUCUCUGCCAAAGCUGGUCAAACAGGUGAAGUCUGGCGAGAGACCUGGCGAGUGUCGAGGUCCGGUCGUAAUUCCAUUGAGGUUUCCGGCGAAGCCUUGAUCUAAUGGUUCGAGGACAUCACCAGGUCAGUGGCUAGCAUUGGACACUUUGGUCUCCGAGAGGUCUCUUUUCUCCUCUUUUUAAUUCUUCUAAUUUUUCUUUUUUUCCAUGAUAUUUAUUGAAUUUUGUCUACAUUAAUUUGUGUUUAAGAUAAAAUGAUAUGCUUAUUAUUAUGUGGUUGGAAUUACGUUAAUAUCAUGAAUCAAUUGAAUAGGGGUUUAGUUUUUUAAAGAUUUGACGUCAUGUAUAGCCAUAUAUUAGGCGUUUUCUUAUUUCAAUUUCAUAUGCAAUCCAUUUGAGUGCUGGAGAUUUGCACAUCAAUCUUAGAUUUAUGUUUCAGAAAACAUAUUUUGGUCAAAUAAAAUUUUGGAAAAGGGAACAAAAUAAAGUAGCUCAAAUGGGUUUUAAGGUUGGGCAGUUGGUUAAUCUCAUUAAUAAUCCAAUUUUUCUUAUCUAUUUUGAAUAGUUUCCUUGGAAAGUAAACAUCUCAAAUUAGCUUUUAAAAAAUAUUCAAACUAAUGAAUCUCGUAGUUGCUUUAGGCGCGAUUUUAAUUAAAUUACCUUCUUAAACUCGGGUGCGCAUUGAUGUGAUCCAAAUCCAAAUCUCGACGAAGUCAAAAUAUAUUGACAACCACGGGUGCAUUGAUUGUGACGUGGUUCAAAACGCGUUUUCACGACAUCGCAAUUCUUUUAAAAUAAAUAAUAAUAAAAAGCGGUUUACGAAUAAAAGGCACCUAAGCUAGCAGGUAUUAAAAUAAGAUAAAAUCAAAUGCAAAAGUUAAGCGACCGUGCUAAAACCACGGAACUUGGGAAUGCCUAACACCUUCUCCCGGGUUAACAGAAUUCCUUACUCGGAUUUCUGGUUCGUAGACUGUUAACAGAGUCAAAUGUUUCCUCGGUUCGGGAUACAACCGGUGACUUGGGACACCAUUAAUCUCUCAAGUGGCGACUCUGAAUAAUCAAUAAUUAAAUCCCGUUCCGAUUGUCCUUUAAAUGGAAAAAAUCCUUUACGCCCUUCCGGGGGUGUAGGUGAAAAAGGAGGUGUGACACACCUGUUUAGUGGGAUUUCAGACAGGAUUUUUGAUCAUUUUACAACUUUCUCAAACCCUAAACAUACUUAGGCGAUUUUUUAAAGGCUCAAACUUCUCCAAAUCAUAAGUAAGUGAUUUCUAACUCAUCUUCUUCUAUCUAAUCCAUCUUUUUACAUAAAUUCACUUUACAAUCUAGGGUUUUUCAUGGGAAAUUGGGUGUGUUUGGGUAGAAAUUAGGAUUUUAAAAUUUUGGGGAUUUGGACCUCAAUUUGAGGUCGGAUUUCAAUACUAAUUGAAUAUUUGAGUUCCUAAAUGAAUGAGUAAUCGAGUUUUGGUUCGAAUUUUGAGUUUUGGCCAAGCGGGCCAGAGGGCAAUUUUAUACUUUUUGGGAAAAAACAAUGGAAAAUUUAUUUUCAUGCAUUAGAAUUGGUUUAUUUAGCAUUUAUUGAUGUUAUUAAAUAAAUUAUGACUAGAUACAAGCGGAUUGAAAGUGGAAUCGAGAGGUAAAGCGGUAAUUGAGGCUUAAUC